CCUGCCCCAGAGGCACUGCAGGUGUGGCUGCUGUGUCACAUGUGCAGCAGUAGGUGGCAGGGAGGAGGGAGGCUGUGCCUAUGUAUAGUGUUCUGACCUGUGAGCACCUGAAUGAUUACUAGCCUAACAUU